CCUACGGGGGGCUGCAGUGGGGAAUAUUGGACAAUGGGGGGAACCCUGAUCCAGCCAUGCCGCGUGUGUGAAGAAGGCCCUCGGGUUGUAAAGCACUUUCAGUGAGGAAGAACGCCUGGUGGUUAAUACCCAUCAGGAAAGACAUCACUCACAGAAGAAGCACCGGCUAACUCCGUGCCAGCAGCCGCGGUAAUACGGAGGGUGCGAGCGUUAAUCGGAAUUACUGGGCGUAAAGCGCGCGUAGGUGGCUUGAUAAGCCGGUUGUGAAAGCCCCGGGCUCAACCUGGGAACGGCAUCCGGAACUGUCAAGCUAGAGUGCAGGAGAGGAAGGUAGAAUUCCCGGUGUGGCGGUGAAAUGCGUAGAGAUCGGGAGGAAUACCAGUGGCGAAGGCGGCCUUCUGGACUGACACUGACACUGAGGUGCGAAAGCGUGGGUAGCAAACAGGAUUAGAUACCCCGGUAGUC
rnacentral:rRNA from 1 species